UCCAGGGAUUCUUCUAAAGCAGCAGAUUGCUGCUGUUGUCUCCCCCUCUGUGUGAUCUGCCCGGAGCAGACACACAACACAACUAAACUCUCUCUCUUAUAGCAGCGACGAGAGGGCCUGCGUACGAUUCCUGCAACAAUAGUACUGACUUUGAGGAGAACAACAGAUGGACUGCACAGCAAGGACUCUAUUCAGUUGGAACCAACAUUCUUCCCCGCCCGGCUUAUCCAGCAGAACCGCCAGAUAAUCAUAAGCAACUUCAAAGCAACUCCUUCCUUUACAGACUGAGUAUUUUCUGUUGCCCAUGGUGGACUGUCCCACCUGAAGCAGCAUUCAGCAGGGGACUACCACGUUCGAGCAACGUCAUGCUACCCCAUGUCCCCAGAGGCAGAUACGAUUUCCUGCACUCCAGCUUCGGCCCUCCUCCUUGCGCUCAGGCUGCUUCUGUGCGCUGGCGAGACGUCUGCUCUCAGACUUCUCCUCUGCUCUCGGAUCUUUUGUGCUGCUGUAGUGUUGACCAAUGAAAUGAUCCCUGCCUCGCUGCGGGCUAACCCAUCACUACAUUUAGCUGCAACAUGGGAUGUUGCCUGCAAGACUGACCCACCACAGAGACACACUGACUCUUCAGCCUCACAUCAAAAGCGCCGAUCGUGAUGAAGCUCAGGUGUUCCUGGGCCGAUCAGCGGAGGAAGUUAUUGCUUGGCAGGUGUCAUGUCAUGUCAAGUGAAGACCUGAAGACAACACAGCGGCCGGCAGCAUCAGGAAAGUCUUAUCCACAGGAGGACGCGUCAGGAUGAACACUGUGACCUUAGAGCUCAAUUCCCAGGGGCUACUUGAGUGCCAGGGCAGGGUUGUGAGGGAAAGCAAAUCUCUCAAACAUG